UACGUAGGGGGCAAGCGUUGUCCGGAAUCAUUGGGCGUAAAGCGCGUGUAGGCGGUUCGGUAAGUCUGCUGUGAAAGUCACAGGCUCAACCUGUGAAUGCCGCUGGAAACUGUCUGGCUUGAGUCCGGAAGGGGCGAGUGGAAUUCCUGGUGUAGCGGUGAAAUGCGCAGAUAUCAGGAGGAACACCAAUGGCGAAGGCAGCUCGCUGGAACGGUACUGACGCUGAGGCGCGAAAGCGUGGGGAGCGAACAGG
rnacentral:rRNA from 1 species